ensembl:misc_RNA Metazoa_SRP Metazoan signal recognition particle RNA
GCCGGGUGUGGUGUCGAACACCUGUACUCCCAGCUACUCUGGAGGCUGAGGCAGGAGAAUCAAUUGAACCCAGGAGGUGGAGGUUGUGGUGAGCCGAGAUCAUGACAUUACACUCCAGCCUGGGUGACAGAGUGAGACUCUGCCUCAU